UAUCCUCUUAGUGAGAUCCAACUAAGCGAGGGAAAUGUUGUCCUUUUUUAAAGUCGACAAUGUGCCGUGCUAUCCGAACCCAUGAACAAUAUUUUUGAAUGGAUGGAGACGCAGGAGAAAUAUUUGUAUCUAUCUUGUUGAUGAUAUUUUACAAAAUUACGGCGACGCAGUGAUAUGAAUGUUUUGAUUGCAUGGCAAUUAUAAAUUGUGAUGUUAAAAAUGCAUUGGAGGUUCAGCGGAUAAUCAAGAAUGUAAUAUCAGCGAUGAAUGACCACAUAUGUAAGAGUACUAAUUGCCGUAAAACUUUUAUACGAAAACAGAAUCUUGAAGGACACUUGCAAUCGUUCAUGUGUUCCCACUGCCCAAAGGCAUUUAAUCAGAGUUCAAAUCUAAUUCUAAUGCACUAAUUUCAAUUGUAUAUGUUGGGGCUGUUGUGUAAACGGUAAUGAAACGACUAGUCUAAAAAAGGCUUUUAGAUCUAUUCCAUUAGACUUUUUAAAUUCGAUAACAAA